GUAUAGUUCAAUUUGCUUUUUUGGGUAAGAUUGCAUAAGAAUUUUCUGUAUAAAAAUAUCACGUGCAUUAUUCAAAUAAAGGUUGUAGUAAUUUAUUAGACCUCUUUCGAAACUCAAUUUAUGGUGAAAAGUUUUAGGAAAAGAGCACCGCAAGAUGUAUUUGAGGAGAGCUUCGACAACAAAAUUGCCAUCAGUUUCGAAAGAGGUCUAUUUUAGUACAUUUAUUUUUUAACCAGGCAGUGAAUAAUAUAGUUGUCAAAAAGUUUGGCGGAACCUCUUUAACUAAUUUAAAUAGAGUUGCACAUCUCAUAAAAAAUGAUAUCGAAAGAGGUUAUAAUGUAGUAGUGGUUGUAUCUGCAGCCGCAGGCUUCACUGAUCAAAUGGCCCUNUAUAAAGUAGAGGUAAAUCACUCUAUAAUUGAUGAUAUUUAAAAAUAUAAAUGGCUAUUAUUUUU